rnacentral:rRNA from 1 species
GUGCUAAGGUAGCAUAAUCAUUUGCUACUUAAUUGGUAGCUGGAAUGAAAGGUUAAACUAGCUUACUCAGUUUGUUGUGUUUUGUAAGAAAUUAAAGUCGAGGUAAGAAUUCUUUGAUCUGCUAGGGGACGAUAAGACCCUAGAAGCUUAACAAUAAGAGUAUUUAUUAGUUAUAAAAAUUAAUUUGUUUUACUGGGGCGGUAGAGGUAUAUGAACUAUUAGCUAUUGAUAGAUCCUUAAAAUAAAGAUAAAACGGGAAAGUUACUCUAGGGGUAACAGUGCAAUAUUUUUGGAGAGAUCAUAUCGAUAAAAAUGUUUGCAACCUCGAUGUUGAAUUA